UAUCCGUUGUUACGUUGCCCGAAGACAGUAGUAAAUGUGAUUUGCAGGGUGCAAGCAACGUGUCAUUGUGGUUAGAAAAAAUGAAUCAGUAUACAUGUGAUUUAACUGUCAAAGCCGGAAUGUUUAAAGCAUACAUCCCGCCCAAGG